UCUAGUCCUAAGAAAAGCAUAAGGUGUUUCCUUACUUGAAGCCAUCUUCCUCUAUGAGUUCUAUACAAACCCUCAGUUAGUAGAGUGGGUCCCAUUAGCAAUCAACUUGAGCAACUUUUAUUUGCUGACUGAAUGUAGAUAUGCCUCAAUUGUUGACUGCUUUUGUAAUGAAAUACUCCUCUCCUGUCUUCCAAUGAGUGCUAAUUUUUGUCUGCAACUUGACCAUAGCAGUCCCUGGGGCCCUAGCUCUACUCUCAAUAAAGAAUUAUGGCUGUGUGUCUUGAAUCACACCUUAGGACCCAUCCUGCCUCCACCUCUUUCUCCAUAGAAUAGAAACCUAACUUCUCCCUCCAAGUUCUGAAAUGCUGAAACUUACCAAUUCUUUUUCUCCCCUCUGUUUCUUCCUUCCAUGGCAAGGACUUUCAGAUUUUCUCUCUUUUACUGACAAAGCAUUAAGCAUGAUUUUGUCAUACAAAAUAGCCAUAAAGUGGGGUACCACAGUCCUAAUUCAAUAAAGAUGAAUAUUCAACAUCUGGCAAUCAGUAUGUGCCUGACAGUGUUCUAACUACGCUAUGCUCAUUUAACCCUCAGAACAAUCUCAUUUUACAGGUUUUACAGAAGACAUUGAAAUGGAGAGGUAAGUUAUCUCCCCAGGGUCACACGACUGCUCAGGCUGGGGCCACGAUUUGAUCCCAGAGAAUAGAGAAUGCAACUGAAGCUAUGGGCAUGGAAGUGAUUACCUUGAGAAGUUGUGUAUAGUAAGAAGAACUGGGAAGAAAAAAAAAACCUGGAGAAUAGGGUGAUUUCCACGGCAUUAAGUGAAGCUUGCCAAAGUGAGCACUGGGAGUCAAGAGACCUGCAUAUAAAUCAGGAAUGGCUGCCUCUGGAAAAAGCCAAAAGAGAAAAUACAUUUUUGAGUUUAAAAGAGAAGGGAGAACGAAUGCACAAGGGCCCCCAAAAGGCACAAGUGCAUGCAAUCCGGAUCAGGGCAGAUUAGCUUUGGACUUCUACAAAAGCAAGAUGGGAGAAAGGACCAUGUCAUUCCAGAGAUAUUUCUGGUAGAGGAAAGGUUUAGGAAGAGAUCUUUUGAUGACCUUUAUUUUAAUAGACUUUUCA